UAGCAUAUCAAUAAGCGGAGGAAAAGAAACCAACAGGGAUUGCCUCAGUAACGGCGAGUGAAGCGGCAACAGCUCAAAUUUGAAACCUGCCAACAGGCCGGAUUGUAAUUUGUAGAGGAUGCUUUGGGGUAGGCACUGAUCUAAGUUUCUUGGAACAGUACGUCACAGAGGGUGAGAAUCCCGUUCGUGGUCGGUUGCCUGCUCCGUGUAAAGCUCCUUCGACGAGUCGAGUUGUUUGGGAAUGCAGCUCAAAAUGGGUGGUAAAUUUCAUCUAAAGCUAAAUAUUGGCCAGAGACCGAUAGCGCACAAGUAGAGUGAUCGAAAGAUGAAAAGCACUUUGGAAAGAGAGUUAAACAGCACGUGAAAUUGUUGAAAGGGAAGCGCUUGCAAUCAGACUUGCGCGUAGGUAAUCAAGGGCGGUUCGCUGCCCUGCACUUGCCUGCGCUCAGGCCAGCAUCAGUUCUGGGGGUGGGAGAAAGGCCGUUGGAAUGUGGCUCUUCGGAGUGUUAUAGCCUUCGGUGCCAUGCUGCCUCCCGGGACUGAGGACCGCGCUUCGGCUAGGAUGCUGGCGUAAUGAUUGUAAGCGACCCGUCUUGAAACACGGACCAAGGAGUCUAACAUCUAUGCGAGUGUUUGGGUGUCAAACCCACACGCGGAAUGAAAGUGAACGGAGGUGAGAACCCUUGAGGGUGCAUCAUCGACCGAUCCUGAUGUCUUCGGAUGGAUUUGAGUAUGAGCAUAGCUGUUGGGACCCGAAAGAUGGUGAACUAUGCCUGAAUAGGGUGAAGCCAGAGGAAACUCUGGUGGAGGCUCGCAGCGGUUCUGACGUGCAAAUCGAUCGUCAAAUUUGGGCAUAGGGGCGAAAGACUAAUCGAACCAUCUAGUAGCUGGUUCCUGCCGA
rnacentral:rRNA from 1 species